GAUGAAGAACGUAGCAAAAUGCGAUACUUGGUGUGAAUUGCAGAAUCCCGUGAACCAUCGAGUUUUUGAACGCAAGUUGCGCCCGAAGCCUUUUGGCCGAGGGCACGUCUGCCGGGCGUCACGCAUCGCGUCGCCCCCCACAAUUCUCCGUAAAGGGAACAUGUGUUUUGGGGGCGGAUAUUGGUCUCCCGUGCUCAUGGCGUGGUUGGCCGAAAUAGGAGUCCUUUCGAUGGACGCACGAACUAGUGGUGGUCGUAAAAACCCUCGUCUUUUGUUUCGUGCUGUUGCUCGCAAGGUAAACUCUUUAAAAACCCCAAUGUGUCGUCUCUUGACGACGCUUCGACCGCGACCCCAGGUCAGGCGGGACUACCCGCUGAGUUUAAGCAUAUCAAUAAGCGGAGGA
rnacentral:misc_RNA from 1 species